AUUGAACGCUGGCGGCAGGCUUAACACAUGCAAGUCGAGCGGGGUGAUGGUGCUUGCACUAUCACUUAGCGGCGGACGGGUGAGUAAUGCUUUGGAAUCUGCCUAUUAGUGGGGGACAACAUCUCGAAAGGGAUGCUAAUACCGCAUACGUCCUACGGGAGAAAGCAGGGGAUCACUUGUGACCUUGCGCUAAUAGAUGAGCCUAAGUCGGAUUAGCUAGUUGGUGGGGUAAAGGCCUACCAAGGCGACGAUCUGUAGCGGGUCUGAGAGGAUGAUCCGCCACACUGGGACUGAGACACGGCCCGGAAUCCUACGGGAGGCAGCAGUAGGGAAUAUUGGACAAUGGGGGAAACCCUGAUCCAGCCAUGCCGCGUGUGUGAAGAAGGCCUUAUGGUUGUAAAGCACUUUAAGCGAGGAGGAGGCUCUUUUGGUUAAUACCCAAGAUGAGUGGACGUUACUCGCAGAAUAAGCACCGGCUAACUCUGUGCCAGCAGCCGCCGUAA
rnacentral:rRNA from 1 species